GCCUGUAGCUACCAGUUGUGUGGAGGG
rnacentral:piRNA from 1 species